AAUUAAGAAACAAAUUAUUGUAUUCAUUUUCGAAGUGAAAUUUUAGAAAAUUUUCUCUUAAUUG
rnacentral:tRNA from 1 species